AGGCGGCUCAGCCACCGGGACCUGUCCUACCUCCACCCUCUGUGCAACCUCUUUCCUUGCCUUUUGUCUCUGUUGCUUUUGGGGGGUGAUUAGCCGCUAGCUCAGCGGCUAGAGUAUUCUCUCCCGGAAAAGGCUCCGGAGCUGAGGCCCAGACCCCCAGGGCAAGACGGAAUCUGCUCCCCAGGGCACUAUCUGAGACUGGGUUCCCUCACUGGUAAAAUGAGAAAACUCACUUAUGGUCAGGGGUCCCCGAGUUAAUAAUGCCAGUGAAUUCCUUGGCAGAGCAUCAAGCACUUGGAGAAGCCCCCACCCCCGGUCAUUGUGAUGAUGGUUUGUUUGUUUGUUUGUUUUGAGACGGAGUCUCGCUCUGUCGCCCAGGCUGGAGUGCAGUGGCGCGAUCUCGGCAGGCUGCAAGCUCCGCCUCCCGGGUUCACGCCAUUCAGGGGAGUCGCGCUGAGACACCGCAUAGCGCCCAUGCCCUCCAUAGCGGAGGAAAGAACCCCGGGCUGUGUUGAGGAAGCCUCCUACUUUUGCCUGAAGUGAGGUUGUUGUUGUUGUUGUUGUUGUUUCCACAUGCCUUAUUCAUCCGCGUAACCUCAGCCUCUAGUGCAGCGUCCUAUUUUUUGGCUUGUAUUAUUAUUUUUAAUUGACACAUAAUAAUUGUACAUAUUUAUGGGGUGCCGUGUAAUAUUUCAGUACACCUAUACAAUGUGUAGUGGUCGAAUCAGGGUAAUUAGCAUAUUCAGGGUUGGAGUUUUUCUGUCAAUACAGAUACUUAUA
rnacentral:lncRNA from 1 species